rfam:Oryza sativa (indica cultivar-group) chromosome 9, whole genome shotgun sequence.
AACCACACUAUCAAUGAAUGGAUUCACCCGCGAGAUGACGUGACUGUUUCACCUUAAGACGAGGACAUGUCAUCUUCGAGUGUGGAACAACCACGUCCUCAUCCUAGAUGGAACAACCACGUCAUCUCACAGGUAAAUUCAUUCAUCGAUAGUGUGAUU